rnacentral:rRNA from 1 species
GAUGAACGCUAGCGGCAGGCUUAAUACAUGCAAGUCGAGGGGCAGCGGGGGUAGCAAUACCUGCCGGCGACCGGCAAACGGGUGCGGAACACGUACACAACCUUCCUUUCGGUAGGAGAUAGCCCAGAGAAAUUUGGAUUAAUACCCCAUAGGAUACCUUGGGAGCAUUUCUGAGGUAUUAAAGAUUUAUUGCCGGAAGAUGGGUGUGCGUCUGAUUAGGUAGUUGGUAGGGGUAACGGCCCACCAAGCCAGCGAUCAGUAACUGGUGUGAGAGCACGACCAGUCACACGGGCACUGAGACACGGGCCCGACUCCUACGGGAGGCAGCAGUAAGGAAUAUUGGUCAAUGGACGCAAGUCUGAACCAGCCAUGCCGCGUGGAGGAUGAAGGUCCUCUGGAUUGUAAACUUCUUUUAUCUGGGAAGAAAUGCAUUUAUUCUUAAGUGUUUGACGGUACCAGAUGAAUAAGCACCGGCUAACUCCGUGCCAGCAGCCGCGGUAAUACGGAGGGUGCAAGCGUUAUCCGGAUUCACUGGGUUUAAAGGGUGCGUAGGUGGGCAGUUAAGUCAGUGGUGAAAUCUCCGGGCUUAACCCGGAAACUGCCAUUGAUACUAUCUGUCUUGAAUGUCGUGGAGGUAAGCGGAAUAUGUCAUGUAGCGGUGAAAUGCUUAGAUAUGACAUAGAACACCAAUUGCGAAGGCAGCUUGCUACACGAAUAUUGACACUGAGGCACGAAAGCGUGGGGAUCAAACAGGAUUAGAUACCCUGGUAGUCCACGCCCUAAACGAUGGAUACUCGACAUACGCGAUACACAGUGUGUGUCUGAGCGAAAGCAUUAAGUAUCCCA